rnacentral:rRNA from 1 species
AGAGUUUGAUCCUGGCUCAGAGCGAACGCUGGCGGCAUGCUUAACACAUGCAAGUCGCACGGGCAGUAGCAAUAUUGUCAGUGGCGGACGGGUGAGUAACGCGUAGGAAUUUAUCUUUGGAUGGGGACGAACCGUGGGAACGUAACGCGUAAUAACCGCCAUGAUGCCUCGAGGGGCCGAAACGACUUGUCAAGAGCGUCUGAAGAGAAGCCUGCGUCUGAUUAGCUAGUUGGUGGGGUAAAGGGACCGUACCAAGGACGUCGAUCAGUAGCUGGUCUGAGAGGA